rnacentral:rRNA from 1 species
UACGUAGGGGGCUAGCGUUGUCCGGAAUCAUUGGGCGUAAAGCGCGUGUAGGCGGUUCGGUAAGUCCGCUGUGAAAAUUCAGGGCUCAACCCGGAGACGCCAUCUGAUACUGCUGUGGCUUGAGUCUGGUAGGGGAUCACGGAAUUCCUGGUGUAGCGGUGAAAUGCGCAGAUAUCAGGAGGAACACCGAUGGCGAAGGCAGUGAUCUGGGCCAGUACUGACGCUGAGGAGCGAAAGCGUGGGUAGCAAACAGG